rnacentral:tRNA from 1 species
ACGCCAAUAAUCGAUCAACGGCCUUCUAAGCCGUAGGUCACAGGUUCGAGCCCUGUAGGGCGUA